rnacentral:rRNA from 1 species
UACGUAGGGCGCAAGCGUUAUCCGGAAUUAUUGGGCGUAAAGAGCUCGUAGGCGGUUUGUCGCGUCUGCCGUGAAAGUCCGGGGCUCAACUCCGGAUCUGCGGUGGGUACGGGCAGACUAGAGUGAUGUAGGGGAGACUGGAAUUCCUGGUGUAGCGGUGAAAUGCGCAGAUAUCGGGAGGAACACCGGUGGCGAAGGCGGUUCUCUGGGCCUUACCUGACGCUGAGGAGCGAAAGCGUGGGGAGCGAACAGGAUG